rnacentral:rRNA from 1 species
AAUAUUGGACAAUGGGGGCAACCCUGAUCCAGCCAUGCCGCGUGAGUGAUGAAGGCCCUAGGGUUGUAAAGCUCUUUCAGUGGUGAAGAUAAUGACGGUAACCACAGAAGAAGCCCCGGCUAACUUCGUGCCAGCAGCCGCGGUAAUACGACGGGGGCUAGCGUUGUUCGGAUUUACUGGGCGUAAAGCGCACGUAGGCGGAUUGGUCAGUUAGGGGUGAAAUCCCGGAGCUCAACUCCGGAACUGCCUUUAAUACUGCCAAUCUAGAGUCCGAGAGAGGUGAGUGGAACUCCUAGUGUAGAGGUGAAAUUCGUAGAUAUUCGGAGGAACACCAGUGGCGAAGGCGGCUCACUGGCUCGAUACUGACGCUGAGGUGCGAAAGCGUGGGGAGCAAACAG